CCUUCUUUUCGCAGAUCUCCCUUUUUCUUAAUCCCUGAUUAUCCCACAUCUAAAAAGUGUCUCAACCCACUCGUAAAUGCCUCUAUUGUGUCAAAACAUUUAGACAAAUCUAAAUUGCAUAUAAAAAUAAAUAAAAUUUGUGUUUGGAAAAAAGUUAUUGUGUGAUUAAAUGUGGCCUUUUUUCCCCUUCUUUUUUUCAUCACUAAAAAAGAAUAUGUGCCACAAUUGAGUGACCAAGAAUUCAUAUAUUUCCAAUUAAUUUCUGAUGUGACAGGAAGUGUCCAUUUCGUUGAUAAAUUCCUCAUGGUUCAUUUCGCUUUAUAAGAUCUAAAUUAAACGAAAUAUUUUCAGGAGCAAAAUCAAUUUGUUCUGGCCUAAAGAUAAGUCUUUUUUAUCAAGCAAAAAUGAAUAAAUGAUGAAAAUUAAAACGUGCAUGGGUGACCGGCAACAUAGAAAGUUCAGACAAUCAGUGUCCAUCUCGAGUGUCCAUCUGGCCGCGGAGUCAUGUAGAUAAGAUGACCACUGGACAUUAUGACAAAAAAGAAAUUGAAAAUGUAAAUAUCAUAAUUAGAUAAAGUUUGGUAUUGACAAUCUUCAAUGAAGAAUUUCUCUUUAUUAAAUUCUGAGAGGUGAAUUUAAGUUCAUGAUGAGAUUUUUUUGGGGGGUUUAUUUUUUCUAUGAUUUUUUUUUUUAUUAUUAAAAAUUAAUUUCAAACAGGAAAUCAAUGUUAAUACUGUUUAUUAUUCUCAAUUUAACACUUCCUUCGAAUUAAGCACCCUCAAGAUUUUGAUGGGGAUGGACUGUAACAAUGCUAAGAUAUAAUAAUGUUGUAUCCUCUAAUAUCUGAUGUCCAUAAUGUUGUAUCUUGUGUAUUUGGAAAUACCUUUCAGGAUUUUUGGUCCUCUCUACUCUUAAGCUUCAAACCUUUUUUGAAUUAUUAAAAAAUCACUGAUAAGCCCUCACCUCAAGGGUGGACUACUUCAAUACUUAAGGCAUAUCUGUUAUCUUCUUUUAUGUUGAGAUUUAAAAUUAUUUCUUUUU
rnacentral:lncRNA from 1 species